rnacentral:snoRNA from 1 species
GCAUGGCUGAAUUCUGGUCCAGCUGCUCUGUAGUGGAUACAGUCAGACACCAUGCAACAUCCUCGCCUCAUUUCCACAAAAUUAGUGGAUGAGUGGCUUCCUCAAGCUCAUCCAGCUGUGUGGAAAUGAGUACAAAC